rnacentral:rRNA from 1 species
ACCGCUAUGUCGGGCAUCCUAUACAUGCAGUCCAACGGUCCUCUGCUUCUUCGCGUAGCCUCCUCCGUGGCGCACGGGUGCGUAUCGCCUUUGCAACCUACCUUCCACUGGGGGAUAGCCCACCGAAAGGUGGAUUAAUACCGCAUAUGACCACCAGAGGGCAUCCGACCGUGGUAAAAGCUGAGGCGGUGGAAGAUGGGCAUGCGUGCCAUUAGCUAGUUGGCGGGGUAGAGGCCCACCAAGGCGACGAUGGCUAGGGGUUCUGAGAGGAUGGUCCCCCACACUGGUACUGAGACACGGUCCAAACUUCUACGGGAGGCAGCAGUGGGGAAUAUUGGGCAAUGGCCGAAAGGCUGACCCAGCCAUGCCGCGUGCAGGAAGAAGGCCUUCUGGGUUGUAAACUGCUUUUGUACGGGAAAAAAACGCCCCUGCGGGGGUAACUGACGGUACCGUACGAAUAACCACCGGCUAACUCCGUGCCAGCAGCCGCGGUAAUACGGAGGGUGCAAGCGUUGUCCGGAUUUAUUGGGUUUAAAGGGUGCGUAGGCGGCCCGUUAAGUCAGCGGUGAAAUCCCGGGGCUCAACCCCGGAACUGCCGUUGAUACUGGCGGGCUUGAGUUCGGUCGAGGCGGGCGGAACUGGUGGUGUAGCGGUGAAAUGCAUAGAUACCACCAAGAACCCCGAUUGCGAACGCAGCUCGCUGGGCCGAAACUGACGCUGAGGCACGAAAGCGUGGGGAGCGAACAGGAUUAGAUACCCUGGUAGUCCACGCCGUAACGAUGAUAACUCGAUGUUUGCGAUACACGGCAAGCGUCCAAGCGAAAGCGUUAAGUCAUCCACCUGGGGAGUACGCUCGCACUGGUGAAACUCACGAAAAAAAUUUAACGGGAAAA